rnacentral:rRNA from 1 species
AUACGGAGGGUGCGAGCGUUAAUCGGAAUUACUGGGCGUAAAGCGUACGUAGGCGGUUGGUUAAGUUAGAUGUGAAAGCCCCGGGCUUAACCUGGGAACUGCAUUUAAAACUGACGAACUAGAGUUGAGUAGAGGGGAGUGGAAUUUCAGGUGUAGCGGUGAAAUGCGUAGAGAUCUGAAGGAACACCAGUGGCGAAGGCGACUCCCUGGACUCGAACUGACGCUGAGGUACGAAAGCGUGGGUAGCAAACGGGAUUAGAUACCCGAGUAGUCC